UACGAAGGGGGCUAGCGUUGCUCGGAAUCACUGGGCGUAAAGCGCACGUAGGCGGAUUUCUAAGUCAGGGGUGAAAUCCUGGAGCUCAACUCCAGAACUGCCUUUGAUACUGGGAAUCUCGAGUCCGGAAGAGGUGAGUGGAACUGCGAGUGUAGGGGUGAAAUUCGUAGAUAUUCGCAAGAACACCAGUGGCGAAGGCGGCUCACUGGUCCGGUACUGACGCUGAGGUGCGAAAGCGUGGGGAGCAAACAGG
rnacentral:rRNA from 1 species